GCAGAGUGUGUGUUUGUAUGAGUGUGUGUGUGUGUAUAAUGCAGAGUGUGUGCAUUAUAUACGCGCACACUCAUACAAACACACACUCUGCAU